rnacentral:rRNA from 1 species
UGGGGAAUCAUGGUCAAUGGGCGAAAGCCUGAACCUGCGACGCCGCGUGAGUGAUGAAGGUCGUAAGAUCGUAAAACUCUUUUCAGGGAUCUUAAAGCCUGUCUGUCAACAACAGGCAGGUCUGACUCUCCCUGGAAGAAGCCCCAGCCAACUACGUGCCAGCAGCUGCGGUAAUACGUAGGGGGCGAGCGUUAUUCGGAAUUACUGGGUGUAAAGGGUAUGUAGGCGGCCUGACAAGUCGCGUGUCAAAGUCCAGCGCUUAACGCUGGGUUCGCACGCGAUACUGUCUGGCUAGAGGGCUGGAGAGGUGAGCGGAAUUCCCGGUGUAGUGGUAAAAUACGUAGAGAUCGGGAGGAACACCAGCGGCGCAGGCGGCUCACUAGACAGUUUCUGACGCUAAGAUACGAAAGCGUGGGUAGCAAACA